rnacentral:rRNA from 1 species
AUUGAACGCUGGCGGCAGGCCUAACACAUGCAAGUCGAACGAGUGGCGGACGGGUGAGUAAUGUCUGGGAAACUGCCCGAUGGAGGGGGAUAACUAAUGGAAACGGUAGCUAAUACCGCAUACCCUCGGGUGUGUCCAGAUGGGAUUCGCUAGUAGGGGGGGUAACGGCGCACCUAGGCGACGAUCCCUAGCUGGUCUGAGAGGAUGACCAGCCACACGGGAACUGAGACACGGUCCAGACUCCUACGGGAGGAAGAAGUGGGGAAUAUUGCACAAUGGGCGCAAGCCUGAUGCAGCCAUGCCGCGUGUAUGAAGAAGGCCUUCGGAUUGUAAAGUACUUUCAGCGGGGAGGCGUUACUCGCAGAAGAAGCACCGGCUAACUCCGUGCCAGCAGCCGCGGUAAUUC